rnacentral:rRNA from 1 species
UACGUAGGCAGCGAGCGUUGUUCGGAAUUACUGGGCGUAAAGGGCGCGCAGGCGGCGCGAGAAGUCAGGCGUGAAAGCCCCGGGCUCAACCUGGGAAUUGCAUUCGAGACUGAAUAGCUAGGGUACGGUAGAGGGAAGUGGAAUUUCCGGUGUAGCGGUGAAAUGCGUAGAUAUCGGAAGGAACAUCAGUGGCGAAAGCGACUUCCUGGACCAGUACCGACGUUCAGGCACGAAAGCGUGGGGAGCAAACAGG